ensembl:lncRNA
UGUCUUAGUCCGCCUUAUUGUCCGCCUCCGUGGCUUUCUCACCAUGGCCACCCCUCUCACUGACCCCACUGGACAGAGGGGCAGAAGCUCUGGACAGAGGGGCAGAAGCUCUGGACAGAGGGGCAGAAGCUCUGGACAGAGGGGCAGAAGCUCUGGACAGAGGGGCAGAAGCUCUGGACAGAGGGGCAGAAGCUCUGGACAGAGGGGCUCUGGCGCCUCUGGGCUGACGGGCUCUGGCGCCUCAGACUCCGGCAGCGGCGCCGGACAGGCGGGAGACUCCGGCAUCAGCGCCGGACAGGCGGGAGGCUCCGGACAGGCGGGAGGCUCCGGCAGCAGCGCCGGACAGGCGGGAGGCUCCAGACAGGCGGGAGGCUCCGGCAGCGGCAGCGGCGCCGGACAGGCGGGAGGCUCCGGCAGCGUCGCCGGACAGGCGGGAGGCUCCGGCAGCGUCGCCGGACAGGCGGGAGGCUCCGGCAGCGGCGCCGGACAGGCGGGAGGCUCCGGCAGCGGCGCCGGACAGGCGGGAGGCUCCGGCAGCAGCGCCGGACAGGCGGGAGACUCCGGCAGCAGCGCCGGACAGGCGGGAGACUCCGGCAGCAGCGCCGGACAGGCGGGAGACUCCGGCAGCGGCGCCGGACAGACAGGACCACCUGCAGGGAGGAGACAGAGAGACAGCCUGGUGCGUGGGGCUGCCACAGGAACCACCAGGCUGGGGAGACCCUCAGGAGGCUUGGUGUUAGGAGGCACCUGAAGGACCGGGCUGUGGGGGAGCACUGGAGCUCUGGUGCGCAACCUUGGCACCACUUCCCCAGGCUGUCUCUCUGUCUCCUCCCUGCAGGUGGUCCCGCCUGUCCGGCGCUGCUGCCGGAGUCUCCCGCCUGUCCGGCACUGCUGCCGGAGCCUCCCGCCUGUCCGGCGCUGCUGCCGGAGCC